AGGACGAACGCUGGCGGCGUGCUUAACACAUGCAAGUCGAGCGGAAAGGCCCUUCGGGGUACUCGAGCGGCGAACGGGUGAGUAACACGUGGGCAACCUGCCCUUAGCUCUGGGAUAGCUCCGGGAAACCGGAAUUAAUACCGGAUAUGACCUAGGCCGACAUCGGCCGUGGUGGAAAGUUUUUCGGCUAGGGAUGGACUCGCGGCCUAUCAGCUAGUUGGUGGGGUAAUGGCCUACCAAGGCGACGACGGGUAGCCGGCCUGAGAGGGCGACCGGCCACACUGGGACUGAGACACGGCCCAGACUCCUACGGGAGGCAGCAGUGGGGAAUCUUGCGCAAUGGGCGAAAGCCUGACGCAGCGACGCCGCGUGGGGGAUGAAGGCCUUCGGGUUGUAAACCCCUUUCAGCAGGACGAAGCGAAAGUGACGGUACCUGCAGAAGAAGCGACCGGCUAACGUACGCGCCAGCAGCCGC
rnacentral:rRNA from 1 species